AUUGAACGCUGGCGGCAGGCCUAACACAUGCAAGUCGAACGAGUGGCGGACGGGUGAGUAAUGUCUGGGAAACUGCCCGAUGGAGGGGGAUAACUACUGGAAACGGUAGCUAAUACAGCAUACCAUCGGAUGUGCCCAUAUGGGAUUAGCUAGUAGGUGGGGUAACGGCUCACCUAGGCGACGAUCCCUAGCUGGUCUGAGAGGAUGACCAGCCAGACUGGAACUGAGACACGGCCCAGACGCAUACGGGAGUCAGCAGUGGGGAAUAGUGCACAAUGUGCGCGAGCCUGAUGCAGCCAUGCCGCGUGUAUGAAGAAGGCCUUCGGGUUGUAAAGUACUGUCAGCCAGGAGGCGUUACUCGCAGAAGAAGCACCGGCUAACUCCGUGCCAGCAGCCGCGGUAAUUC
rnacentral:rRNA from 1 species